CCAAAAACAUCGCCUCUUGAAUAUCUAUAAGAGGUCCAGCCUGCCCAGUGACUUUGUUCAACGGCCGCGGUAUCCUAACCGUGCGAAGGUAGCGUAAUCACUUGUCUUUUAAAUGGGGACUUGUAUGAAUGGCAUCACGAGGGUUAUACUGUCUCCUUUUUCUAAUCAGUGAAACUAAUCUUCCCGUGAAGAAGCGGGAAUAAACAUAUAAGACGAGAAGACCCUAUGGAGCUUUAAACUCAAUAACAAAUACUAACCUUACAUCAACUUUCAGAAGAUCAACCUUAAUUUUAGUAUUAUGAUUAUUAGUUUUAGGUUGGGGUGACCGCGGAGUAAAAAUUAACCUCCACAUUGAACGGGACCUGUCCCUGAGCCAAGAACUACAGCUCGAAGCACCAACAAAUUGACAUUAAUUGACCCA
rnacentral:rRNA from 1 species